rnacentral:rRNA from 1 species
AUCUAUGGCCAUAGCACUCAACGCACCUGCUCCCAUCUGGUCUCAGAAGCUAAGCAGAGCCGGGCCUGAAUGGUACUUGGAUGGGAGACAGUACUUUUAUGAGUUAU